AACGAACGCUGGCGGCAGGCUUAACACAUGCAAGUCGAACGCCCCGCAAGGGGAGUGGCAGACGGGUGAGUAACACGUGGGAACAUGCCCAAAGGUACGGAAUAUCCUCGGGAAACUGGGAGCAAUACCGUAUGUGACCGUAAGGUGAAAGAUUUAUCGCCUUUGGAUUGGCCCGCGUUGGAUUAGCUAGUUGGUGGGGUAAAAGCCCACCAAGGCGACGAUCCAUAGCUGGUCUGAGGGGACGACCAGCCACACUGGGACUGAGACACGGCCCAGACUCCUACGGGAGGCAGCAGUGGGGAAUCUUGGACAAUGGGCGCAAGCCUGAUCCAGCCAUGCCGCGUGAGUGAUGAAGGCCCUAGGGUUGUAAAACUCUUUCGUGGGGGACGAUAAUGACGGUACCCCAAGAAGAAGCUCCGGCUAACUUCGUGCCAGCCGCCGCCGUAAGAC
rnacentral:rRNA from 1 species